AAUAGAUACCCGGGUAGUCCACGCCGUAAACGAUGAGUGCUAAGUGUUGGGGGAUUUCCGCCCCUCAGUGCUGCAGCUAACGCAUUAAGCACUCCGCCUGGGGAGUACGGCCGCAAGGCUGGAACUCAAAGGAAUUGACGGGGGCCCGCACAAGCGGUGGAGCGUGUGGUUUAAUUCGAAGCAACGCGAAGAACCUUACCAGGUCUUGACAUCCCGCUGCCCGGUAUAGAGAUAUAUCUUUCCCUUCGGGGACAGCGGUGACAGGUGGUGCAUGGUUGUCGUCAGCUCGUGUCGUGAGAUGUUGGGUUAAGUCCCGCAACGAGCGCAACCCUUGAUCUUAGUUGCCAGCAUUUAGUUGGGCACUCUAAGGUGACUGCCGGUGACAAACCGGAGGAAGGUGGGGAUGACGUCAAAUCAUCAUGCCCCUUAUGACCUGGGCUACACACGUGCUACAAUGGAUGGUACAAAGGGCUGCAAGACCGCGAGGUUUAGCCAAUCCCAUAAAACCAUUCUCAGUUCGGAUUGCAGGCUG
rnacentral:rRNA from 1 species